UCUGAUGGAUGAGCAAUGAAAGUGGUCUCUUGAGAUGGAAUCCACUCCUGGUGAAGGUGCUGUGAA
rnacentral:pre_miRNA from 1 species